rnacentral:tRNA from 1 species
UCCGUAUGACCGAUCAAGGCGAUGGGGCUUGGCUGUUAACCAAGAUGUGCGUGGUUCGAUUCCACGAUACGGAGCCA